AUGAAAACUAUCCAUUUUAUUUAAGAAUUGAAUGCUCUUUUUUGUAAAUUUAUUGGGGUGUAAAAGCGUUGACCGAAAGUACAUUUUGUAUGAAGCGCGGAAGCGCUUCAUACUUAAAAUGUGCGCACGGUCAACGCUUUUACAACCCUAUAAAGUUACAAAAAAAAAGCAUUCAAUACUUAUAAUUACAUUUUUACCUAUAGGAUCACGAAAACACGCCUUUUAUCAAGUUUUUAUUUUAUUUACCUGUGCACUUUAUUGUGGGACCUCGUGUCAUCAUGAAUGAGAAGUUUUAUUGAGUGAUACAACUGCUUAAGGAAUAACACAUGAUGUGCAGUUAGCCAAUCAGAAUAACGUAUUGUAAUGAAACAUACAUCUAAUGUAAUUAUUAUAAAUAUGCUUAUUUUUUUUUUUAAUUUGAGGUUUUAUAUGACUUAUGGUUUAAUGUCAAAUUGUAUUUCUCAAUAAAAUUCAAUAUACAUGGCAGCACGUGCUUCUCACGACAAAUUCACAACAAUGCAUAGGUUUAUCAACAAACAAAUAAUUAAUUGCUACAACCAAGGAUUUGUAUAGUACUAUACAAAUCCUUGCUACAACUCGUACUAUGAUAACAAACCAA
rnacentral:lncRNA from 1 species